AGUGAACGCUGGCGGUAGGCCUAACACAUGCAAGUCGAACGGCAGCACAGUAAGAGCUUGCUCUUACGGGUGGCGAGUGGCGGACGGGUGAGGAAUACAUCGGCAUCUACUUUUUCGUGGGGGAUAACGUAGGGAAACUUACGCUAAUACCGAAUACGAUCUACGGGUGAAUGCAGGGGAUCUUCGGACCUUGCGCGAUUGAAUGAGCCGAUGUCGGAUUAGCUAGUUGGCGGGGUAAGGGCCCACCAAGGCGACGAACCGUAGCUGGUCUGAGAGGAUGAUCAGCCACACUGGAACUGAGACACGGUCCAGACUCCUACGGGAGGCAGCAGUGGGGAAUAUUGGACAAUGGGCGCAAGCCUGAUCCAGCCAUACUGCGUGGGUGAAGAAGGCCUUCGGGUUGUAAAGCCCUUUUGUUGGGAAAGAAAAGCAGCAGGUUAAUACCCCGCUGUUCUGACGGUACCCAAAGAAUAAGCACCGGCUAACUUCGUG
rnacentral:rRNA from 1 species